CUGGACUGAUGUUCUUUGUCAAAUAACUACCCAGCACAGCAGUCCCUCUCUCUACAUGAUGAAAGAGCUAUCAGGAGGCAGGAGUUCUGGCUGCUGGCCAGCUGUCUGUGGUUCCAGGCUGUUCGGGCAUAUCUCCUGGAGCAGGAAUCAGUGUUCGGCACUCUCCCCUUUCACAUCACACCACCUCAGCUGCUGGGCUGCACGGUUAGAACAACUAUGCAUCUUUGACACAGUGUCACGGAAACCUUUUUCAGAAGUCUGCUUGGAAGGAACUCAUUGUUCUAGCACUCAUGUGCUCCAGUUGUUUGAUAAAAAAGAAAAAGCUCUCUGUUGCAUAAAGAUACAAAUUAGACUGAAAUACAUAAACAUUAUCAAAAACUUGAUUUCUCUUCUGAUUCCUGUUUAUAUUACACUGGUGUGUGGUACGUAUACCUUGUAUACCUUUUACAUAUACAUGAAUAAAAUGGCAGGUGAAGAUACCUAUUCCCAUUUAAUGUUUAUUAUGAAAGUGAUUGUAACAAAUUUUUUAUUACAUGCUUCAUUUUGA
rnacentral:lncRNA from 1 species